GUAGUCAUGACUGAGUGGUUAAGGCGAUGGACUUGAAAUCCAUUGGGAUCUUCCCGCGCAGGUUCGAAUCCUGCCGACUACG
rnacentral:tRNA from 1 species